GUGCACAGAGUCUGAGUCAACAGUCCCGAGUCCAGAGUGAUGCUAUGGAUCAGCAUGUGUGCGAUCCAUCAGUCCAAACAGAAUGAUUAUGAAUGGAAAACUAAAAUGUGCCUGCUGGAGAGAUAAAAUGAGCAUGAUGGCCACAGCCACCACAGCAAAAAAGCCGUCCAUCCAGGAAACAGCUGCACCGUCCACAGCAGACCAAUGGAAUGCAACACACAGCCUCCCUGCACCAGUCACCAUUUUUAUUAAGUGCAAGAACCUCCAUUUUUGAAGUGUCAGUAUGAAACCCAAGACCCCUGGGAAAAAUGAAGGUUUGCUUCACUUCAGUCUGGCCAGACGUGAGCGCUUCAUACCUGAGACAGCAAUUGGAUGUAGGACAUACCUUCCUGGAUUUGAUUAUAGGCCUAUCCCCUCCUUAUCAAGAAUUCUUGCAAACAAAAGGCCGGCAACGUUGCACCGGCAUCGCUGCAUUUCCACCCACAGAAACACUGAAACUACCUCAUAAUUUCAAAGCCACAAAUGCUUUGCUAUAUAAUGAUUGUCAUUUUUUAUUUACGCUCUCACUGCAGCUUAUGCCGGUGGUGUUAAUCUGCUCUGGGAAAAGGCUAAACCUCAGCACUGGCAAAAUGAGCUGGAUGAAAGCGCUGUACGGUAUCACUGCUGUUCUCGCCACGCUCGACAGCUCAUGGCUUCAGCCCUGCGUGAUGCCGGCUCAAUUCCUAAUAGAAUUAGCUUGAAUUAAUUGGCUGUUUAUAUUCAGGAGUUCCAGUCUUGUUUCCUUCCCUGAUAUGGAGUGCAUUGCUCCAUUUAUCCCAGUAAUGAAAGUGGAGAAUGCAGUGGCAGCAGUCAUUACCGCUCCCCAACCAGAACAAUGUGUUCUGACUGCAGCCUGUGAAAGACAUUAACUAGGCCGUCUGAGAAAACUGAUGACUAAAUAUCUCAGUCUCUGAGACUGCGCUGGGGUCAAUGGCACUGCAACAAGCGAAAAAACAACCCCAACGAGUUCCAAAAUAUUCCGAUGCCCCUGAGGGCGGAAGUGAGGGCUGAAGAUGGGAAUCAGAUGUGCUGUGCAGAUCUCCUGUGUCUGUGUUCCCCUAAGACACGUACAUCACCUGCACACCUGUCUGGCUGGAGCCUGCCAAGUCUUACCUGAGAGGACAGACCCACCGAGGCAUACCUCCACACAUCAGAUUUCAACACACCUCAUGUCACACAUGCAUAUGUGCACAACAAAAGGUGGAUCACUUGCUGUUUUAUCAUUUGGAACAUCCAGUUAGGACUAUUUAGAGUGCUAAGUGAAGCAUCUCCAAACAUCUCCGGAGUCCCUCAGUUUUUGAUAAAAUUCAGUGCAUGUCAUAAAAACACUUUCUCCAAGAAGGCUUCAUGAAAACGUGUUACACACCACCAAAACUGAUCAUAUUUCCAAUUUUACAAACC
ensembl:lncRNA